UACGAAGGGUGCAAGCGUUACUCGGAAUUACGUGGGCGUAAAGCGUGCGUAGGUGGUUCGUUAAGUCUGAUGUGAAAGCCCUGGGCUCAACCUGGGAAUGGCAUUGGAAACUGGCGACCUAGAGGUGCGGUAGAGGGUAGUGGAAGUUCCCGGUGUAGCAGUGAAAUGCGUAGAGAUACGGGAGGAACAUCUGUGGGCGAAGGCACUACCUGGACCAGCAC
rnacentral:rRNA from 1 species